GAUUUCUGACCUGAAACAUUUUGCCGGCCACGGUUUCGUGUGUUAGUGCUUGAUGUUCUGGUCAUCCUUUCAAUCGCUGUCUGCUUUUCUUCAUUGAUUAGUUGACGGUAUUGAAUCUUUUACUUUGAAAAAAUUAGAGUGUUUCAAGCAGGCUAUUGCUAUGAAUACAUUAGCAUGGAAUAAUAAUUUAGGACUUCGGUUCUAUUUUGUUGGUUUCUAGGACUGAAGUAAUGAUUGAUAGGGAUAGUUGGGGGUGCUAGUAUUCAGCGGCCAGAGGUGAAAUUCUUGGAUUCGCUGAAGACUAACUUAUGCGAAAGCAUU
rnacentral:rRNA from 2 species